UUUUUGUCAAACAGCAGAUUUUUAUUUAAAGUUAAAACUUCAGUUGUGCAUGACAAAACCUCAAAAAUUUAAUAAUGUAUUCAAAAUUGUGAAGUUCGAAAGUCUAGUUCUUGUUUUUGUGUAUACAUCUUCAGAGUCCUCAAAAUAAUUUAAAAUUGAAAUGAAGAGGAUUACAAACAAUUUGCACUACCCUUGUAUUCAGGAAUAACAACUCUCAAAUACUAAUGAACAAACUACAAGAUAUAUGUUUUAGAGGUCUGCAAAAUUUGGAAUUUACAUAACAAAGUGAUAACUUGAAAUAUGUAGAAUUGAAGAAGAAAAUUUUUGAAUAUUUUAGACAAGAAUAAUAACAACAGACGAAAUAAGAAUGUCAACAUCAGGUUAAAAAAUUUAUAAACCUUGUCAUGUUGAACUAAAUCUUAGUUCCACAUUCCACAAAAUAAAAUGAAAUUCGAUUGGUAUCAAAAAAAUAAUUUCUGACGAAAGAACCUCCCAAAAAUAUUCGAUUGAAAAAAAUUAAUAAAAAUAAUUGAAGACUAGGAUUCUGAAUGAUAUGGAUAUAAAAUAAUCUAAUCGAAAUUCUAGCAUUACAUCUCAGCUAUACCUAUAAAAUAAAAGGAGAUUUAUUCUAUUUUAUGGAAAGAAAUAAAAAGAACAAAUAUUCUGUAUCAUUGGUUUUCUUUCAUUUUAUUGUAUCCUUUUCUUAUAAUUUUAUCCUUUCUUUAUUGAUUUUUGUGUCGUCUUAUUUGUAGUUGAAAUUAAGUUGCUCAAUAUUUCCAGGUUUAUUGUUUCUCUGUUAAUCAUAUCUAAUUAGAAACAAAAGCAGCCCAAGUAGAAGUAGAUGAGUAAUUUUUUUAAUUCUUUUUCAUUAUUUUGGCUGAAAUAUCUUUAUUUCUAUGCAACUUAAUUAAAACGGAUGUUGAACAUUGUAAUGUUACACCCUAUUUAUUUUUUAUGAUUCGAAUUUUUUGAUAAAUUCGACUAAAAUGUUGUUCGAAAAUAUUUUUAUUUUAUUGGUAGUUUAUUAAUUGAGGUUUUCCAAGAGAUUUGACAGUUCAGGAUAUAGUUUCUAGAAAUUAAACAUUCGAUUAAAAAUAAAAAACUAUGUAAGUCAUGUACUUAUGCACUGAUUAAUGUUCAAUAAACCCAGUUUAUUAUUAUAAAUAUUAAUAUUAUGAGAUCGGAAUCCACUAUUCUGUAAAAGUUGUCGUAUUCGGCUUUCGAGACUACAGAAGGUAAAUCUGAUAAUUCUUGAGUUGACAAACUUCGGUUUCAAGUGUCGAUCUGAGUGUUCACACUUCUUUGGAACAGCUUGAACUUCUACAAGGUCCUAUUUGGGCCGUCGCAGUACGCGCAAAGUUUAAAUUACCGGGACCUCAAUAUCUCGCGUUCUGCUGGCUCGAUUUUGACAGAAUUCGGUAGUUUUUUCACGGUGCGCUAAUUGGAAACUGCGUCUAGACCGAGCUAAAAAGGCAUGUGCAGAGUUGCCAGAUGCUUGCUUUUUUCCAGCAAUUAAAGAAAAAUUUGUUUAAAAGCCUCAGUAAGAUAAUGGUUUGUUUCAGCGUCCAAAGAUUGUUGAUGAGCAAGACGCAUAUGGCAUAAUGAAGAACACUGCGUACAAAUUGAAGAAAACGAAAGAUAACCUGAGAAAGAAAGUGAUACUAGAAAACAUUCUAAAUCGGACUAGAGAUGCUGUCCAAGCGCGCGAAAGAGAAUUGCGCGAGAGAGCAGCGCGAGAGUGGGCGCAAAGGAAGAUUCCGAUGACGAGAGUCGAACAGCUUAAGCAAAAAAUCUUAAGAGAGAGGAAAGAACUGGAACAGCAACUGGAACAGCAACUGGAGGAGAACGAGCUUCCAGAAAGGAAGAUGACCAGAAAAGAAAGAGACGAUUUGGACUACAAGCUAGAACAGGCCUUUACGAUAAAAGACAUACUGGACUUCAUAAUAGCAGGUCAGAACCAGGUGGAAAAAUAUAGACUUAUCGAGUUUAUGUGUGGAGGGAGGAAUAGAGUGAGGUGGGUUAGACCGAAAAAUUUCACGUUUAGACUACCAGUACGUGCUAUUGAGAAUGAUGAUAAAUCUUCGACUUCCAAUUCUGAAGAAACUUCGGAUGAUAAUAAUAAUGACGAUUGAAUCGAUGAGAAUUGAUCAAAUUAACGAUGCGUAUGAAAUUGACGCAAAUUACCCAAGUGCAAAAAAAAAAAAUUAAAAUGAAAUUCAUCCUUAACAAGAGCUAGCGUAUUAUUGCCUUCUCCGAAGAAGACAGUUAUUUAUGAUAUAUCCAAUGAGGUUAUGUUUUAUUCACAGAAACUAGAUUAGAAAGAUAAUUGACUAUGGUAUGAAUAGCGAAGAAUUUCCUGUAGAUCUUCGAAUAUGUUGGUCCUGUAUGAGGUUGAUCAGAGCUCUUAACAACUGCUCUGGCGUCAAAUUGACAAACAAGUUUAGGAUGAACCAAGAAGUGGUAAAUAGGUUCAAAAAUAAUUCUGAUGGCUGUUCGAUACUUUUUGAUCUCAAUUCUUAAUACAUAUGUUUUUGCCUAUUUUUUCAUUCUUUCAUUAUUCUUUUAGUGUUCUCAUAAUUUUCAAUUUGUUGUUUUGAACUUUUCGAUGUCAAACCUUAAUUCUUCAUGAGUUGUAAUAAUUCCCAUUGAGAUAAUAAAUAAAUGUUUUCUUGUUUA